GAUGAACGCUGGCGGCGUGCCUAACACAUGCAAGUCGAGCGGAGCAUUAGAAACGGAGUUUUCGGACAAAGUUUUUAGUGUCUUAGCGGCGGACGGGUGAGUAACGCGUGGGUAACCUGCCUCAUACAGGGGGAUAACAGCUGGAAACGGCUGCUAAUACCGCAUAAUACGGUAAAACCGCAUGGUUUUGCCGGCAAAGAUUUAUCGGUAUGAGAUGGACCCGCGUCCGAUUAGCUAGUUGGUGGGGUAAGAGCCCACCAAGGCGACGAUCGGUAGCCGGCCUGAGAGGGCGAUCGGCCACAUUGGGACUGAGACACGGCCCAAACUCCUACGGGAGGCAGCAGUGGGGAAUAUUGCACAAUGGGGGAAACCCUGAUGCAGCAACGCCGCGUGAGCGAAGAAGUAUUUCGGUAUGUAAAGCUCUAUCAGCAGGGAAUAGAAAAGAAGGUACCUGACUAAGAAGCCCCGGCUAACUACGUGCCAGCAGCCGCAGUAAUACGUAGGGGGCAAGCGUUAUCCGGAUUUACUGGGUGUAAAGGGAGCGUAGACGGCAAGGCAAGUCAGAAGUGAAAACCCGGGGCUCAACCCCGGGACUGCUUUUGAAACUGCUUUUGCUAGAGUGCAGGAGAGGUAAGCGGAAUUCCUAGUGUAGCGGUGAAAUGCGUAGAUAUUAGGAGGAACAUCAGUGGCGAAGGCGGCUUACUGGACUGUAACUGACGUUGAGGCUCGAAAGCGUGGGGAGCGAACAGGAUUAGAUACCCUGGUAGUCCACGCUGUAAACGAUGAGUGCUAGGUGUCGGGUAGAGAUAUUCGGUGCCGGAGCAAACGCAAUAAGCACUCCACCUGGGGAGUACGGUCGCAAGAUUG
rnacentral:rRNA from 1 species